rnacentral:rRNA from 1 species
GUCGCACGAGAAAGUGGAGCAAUCCAUGAGUACAGUGGCGUACGGGUGAGUAACACGUGGAUCAUCUACCUCUUAGUGGGGAAUAACCCUGGGAAACCGGGGCUAAUACCGCAUAAGCUCGAGAGAGGAAAGCAGCAAUGCGCUGAGAGAGGAGUCCGCGGCCGAUUAGCUAGUUGGCAGGGUAAAAGCCUACCAAGGCAAAGAUCGGUAGCCGGCCUGAGAGGGCACACGGCCACACUGGCACUGAAACACGGGCCAGACUCCUACGGGAGGCAGCAGUGGGGAAUCUUGCACAAUGGGGGAAACCCUGAUGCAGCGACGCCGCGUGAGCGAUGAAGCCCUUCGGGGUGUAAAGCUCUUUCGGCAGGGACGAUCAUGACGGUACCUGCAGAAGCAGCUGCGGCUAACUACGUGCCAGCAGCCGCGGUAAUACGUAGGCAGCGAGCGUUGUUCGGAGUUACUGGGCGUAAAGGGUGUGUAGGCGGUUGCUUAAGUUUGGUGUGAAAUCUCCCGGCUCAACUGGGAGGGUGCGCCGAAUACUGAGUGACUCGAGUGCGGGAGAGGAGAGUGGAAUUCCUGGUGUAGCGGUGAAAUGCGUAGAUAUCAGGAGGAACACCGGCGGUGUAGACGGCUCUCUGGACCGUAACUGACGCUGAGACACGAAAGCGUGGGUAGCAAACAGGAUUAGAUACCCUGGUAGUCCACGCCCUA